rnacentral:sRNA from 1 species
GCAAGGCUCAUGUCAUCCAUUGUGCGCGC